CCCUUCCCACAGUUCUCAGCUGCUAGGAAUGUAUUUUGUGAAGGUGAACCAUGCAGUAGGCAACUUCUAAGACCAGAAGACGUGGCUGCCACCGGCAGCAGCAAUAUGUUGAUUUUGUCUGAAUACACGUGUGUGUUUUAAAGCCAUUGUGAGCCUGACACUUUGAUUGAGGCCCUUGAAAUUUUAUGUUUCAUGUAUUAAGAGACACUAAACAUUGUCUGUCUGUUCCUAUUAGAUGCCUGUUCAUUGGUCCAUAAUUUGCAGUAAGUUUCAUUUGGAUGGAAAAUGUAAUCCAAGCAAUUAUUUAGAAUUUUCUUUAAUUAGUUAGCAAUAUAUUUAACAUGCUGGAGAAAUAAGAUGACUAAAAUGUUUUGAUUAAGCCUGUUAAUGAAAUAAAUUUUUCUUGAUUAUUCGUGGUAGGUUCUAAUCCUGCAGGAUUUUAGCACUAGCACAUCUUACCACCACACAGUAUUUUUUCCACAUAAAGCAGGAAUGUCUUUUAUAUGCCAGUUAGUUAAAAUGUGGAUUAACAGUGUAUGUGAAGUACAGUUAAGAGAAUGAACUGAAACUAAGGAUUUCUUUGCAUUCAUGGAGAGCUGCCUGCUGGCUAUGGCAGGGUGAGCAGUUCAAGGCAGCUUUGGUUUUUGACAGUUUCUUCUGUUCAUUGACUUCAUCUGUUUCAGUGGUUUGGCUUUCCUUAAACUUCACCAGCAAACAUGGCCUGCUUAUGACUAUUCAUAACUAGAAUUGCUGAAGGAGUAAUAAAAAAUAAUGAUUUGAUCUAAGUAGAUUGUCACAAUUUCAAAUAUUGUUACAAAUUUUUUUCCCCCCCCAUAAAAACGCUUGAUUUCCAAAGGGAUAAAUGCAGUCAUGUGCUUGUCUGGGUGGGAUGUCUUAAAAUGCAAUUGCAGCAAUGCCUAAGCUCAUGUUUCAGGUUUUAGUCAUGUGCAGAAAAACUUCCACCUCUGCCCUUGUUCCAGCCCCAAGGGCUGACCAGCCCUGCCAGCAGGCACAGCUUGAGUCGUUCCAGCUAAACCACAGGAACAGCCACCUCCAGGCAAAAGCAUAGUUAUGCUUUCUGCUGCCAAAAAAUUCUGCAGGAAUUUACAGGAAAGAGGUAGGUGUUGAAACGUUACAAAUGCACUGGCUUUAUUCACCCUUGCUCUAAAUUUACUGUAAAGGACAAAACCCUUGUGAAUGGACACAUCUUCUUCCUCUCUUCCUUGUCUUUGCCUUUAUUAGGACUAAACAAUAUUCCUUUGGACAAGGGAAAGAAAGAGCAAGAUGACAGAGGGUGAAAGACCUCAAGCUGAUGCUGCAUAUGUUGAAGAUGCUGUCAUGGAGCCAUGGCCUGAGCUAGCCUGACUUGAUCUCAGACCAUUGUUGUAAACUGAACACAAAAUUCAUUGCUACCAUUGCCCUGUGGCUGGGAGGAGUGGAGGCUGGAGAAAAAUUAGGUUAAAAAUACCUUGUUAAAGGAAUUUAUGCAAGUUUUGAGGGGAUGAUUUGCCUUGCUAAGUUUUGUCUAGCUCUGUCAGUGAGUUUUUGUGUGCCCUGUGUAGUGGGGGUACCAACACUUCCCUAACUUUUUAGGCAGAUGCUGGUGGAAGCAGGGACUGAAGUGAGGCUGACAUGUUUUGUUUUUCUGUGUGCUGCUGGAUUUUGUUCAGUUGCAUGCUUUUUAAAUGGCACUGACGACUAAAUGAGGCAAUUGAUGGGAUAUCUCAGAAGGAAUUACAUGAAUCUAACUUGAAACCCCACAGAACCUGUAGCUUCUGGUACCUCAGACUGAGAUUUUAAUUCUCAUAAAAUUUUGUAAAAAUAGGGCUUUGUGAAGGGCAGAGUGUCAAAAUGCACUAAAUAUCAUGUUGAAGGUUUUACAUUAAAACUUUGAACUGUGUUUCUCCCCAGACCAGCUAGCUUUGUUGUAGGAUGUUGUGUGAAAGUCUUUGAGGCACACUUGUACAGGGUCAGCUCUGAAGGAAAACAUGUGCUGCUUGCUGCCAGUAAAGUAUAAUUGUCUGCUCCUUUGCCACUCCAGUCAGCCCAAAAAUUCUUCCAUCACCCCU
ensembl:lncRNA